rnacentral:rRNA from 1 species
CCUACGGGAGGCAGCAGUGGGGAAUAUUGGUCAAUGGGCGCGAGCCUGAACCAGCCAAGUAGCGUGAAGGAUGACUGCCCUACGGGUUGUAACCUCUUUUUAUAAAGGAGUAAAGUGAGUCACGUGUGCCUUAUUGUAUGUACUUUAUGAAUAAGGAUCGGCUAACUCCGUGCCAGCAGCCGCGGUAAUACGGAGGAUCCGAGCGUUAUCCGGAUUGAUUGGGUAUAACGGGAGCGUAGAUGGGUUGUUAAGUCAGUUGUGAAAGUUUGCGGCUCAACCGUAAAAUUGCAAUUGAUACUGGCAGCCUUGAGUGCAGUUGAGGUAGGCGGAAUUCGUGGUGUAGCGGUGAAAUGCGUAGAUAUCACGAAGAACACCGAUUGCGAAGGCAGCCUACUAAACUGCCACUGACGUUGAUGCGCGAAAGUGUGGGUAUCAAACAGGAUUAGAUACCCGAGUAGUC